GAUAGGGUGGGGCAGUGCGCACUGCAUACCAGCUGGGCCAGGAGGAUUGUGGCUGUGGUUGAGGCAGGCAGGAGGUUGCACCCAGUCAGCGACUGCAUACCUCACUUUGAUUUAUACAUUUUUUACUGCAGAGAACAAGUUAAGUUUGUUUUCCCUUAAUAUUUGAUGCCUUUUUUUUCAAAUGAUAGUUUAUUUUCAGUGCAAACCCUGGAAAUAAGGGCUUUCUUUACAUUCGUUACUGUGAUGCUAAAUUUAAGAAAACAUUGUUUCCUAGGGGUCUGCACAGAGAAAAAAAAAAAAACUUUUGAAAGAAGCAUCAUAUUUUGAAGAGAUAAGGGUAAAUUUAUAGUUUAAGCCAAUGUCCCCAAUCUCUACCCACGGCCCCCCAAUCUCUCAAGCAAGCUUGGGGGCCUGUGGGGAACCUAACCUAACCUAACCUAACCUAACCUGCCCGCGCAGCUUAUGGGUACUUAUAGAGACUUCCUAUUGGUGCAACUCGUGGUGUUAAGUGGUGGUAGCAUGUGAUUGGCCCGAGGAAUUAUAGACACAGUGAUCCUAUCCAGCAGCUACCCACAAUUCAAAGCAUUAAACAACUGAAGUUCAGGCAACAAUACACCAUUUAUGUUUACCUGUGGACUUAGAAAAAGUUGAGAGCGCUGUGCAUUCCCAGGCCUAUUGUGGCGUUAUUAUUAAUUUCCGACAAGUAGUGUAAUCAUUAGAAAUGAUGUGAAUAGUGAGAAGAACAAAAUGAGCUGGCGGACCUGCCGACAGUGGUGAUAGAGUAUGUUGGAGUUCUGCAGCAACAUUUGGAUGACUUGCCACAGUGGGCGUGUCAGAAUCUUCAUGUGGCAGCCAUUACCAGCAACAAGUGAGAGACAGUGGGUACUCAGUCACCAAGUCUAGCUAUAUAAUCCCUGGUGGAAGCAGCUACAAAACUCCUGGGAGGGACCAUAUACAAUCUUCCAGGCUCUCUCUGAUGUCACUUACAAGAUUGGCCCUGGUGCAUGGGAGAGAAGAACAUGUGCGGUCCACGUAGAUCAGCUGUGGAGAUAUUUAUGGCCUGGGAGAUUCUCUUCAGGUGAGAAUGCUCCACAUGAAAAUGAACUAGUGGUGGGUGGAGGGACAGAUUUUGAAAAUGCACUCGAGUGCUGCCCAGGGAGUUCUCUUGAUAUGAGUGGUACACACACUGAUGUGAAGAUGGUGUGUGUUAGGUCACCAGCCCAUUAAGCCCCCAUCCACAUCACAAACCAAGAUGGAUGUAUGAUUAUGCCAUAAUUUAGGUUAAGAAAGUCAAGGAUGAUUGUUUUCCUAAAAAGGGAGUAUAGUGUUAUGAAGGUGGACAUAAUGUAAGUAGUGUGUGUGUGUGUGUGUGUGUGUGUGUGUGUGUGUGUGUGUGUGUGUGUGUGUGUGUGUGUGUGUGUGUGUGUGUGUGUGUGUGUGUGUGUGUGUGUGU